UAGAAAUAAAUCGUACGCUAAAUGAUUUAAAUUAUAAGUUUUCCAUUCCGCGUGUAAUCAUCAUAACGUGUACGAUACUUAUACAAUCAUAUGAUUAAUAUAUUUGCCGACCUUAUAAUUGAAAAUUAUUGACAGAUUAUACAUGUUACAGUAAUGAUUACUGGAAUGAGAAAUGAAAAAUAAUCUAUAGAGAAAAAAAUUAUACCUGAUAUAAUUUGGGUAGUUAUUCACACCUGACUGCAUAAAAAGAAGUGUUUUUUAAUUUUAGUGUUAUAGUGACAUUUCUGUCGACGGCAGUUGGUCGUCAGGCCUGAGAUCACAUUUUUCUUUUCAAAUUCGGUGGUGAGGCAAAAAAACGAAAAGGACUAAAUACGUAAUUAUCCCUUUCCUAUCACCUCAAGGGAAAACGUGAAACGUGGUGAAACGAUUCUAGUCCACUUCGGACACCGGUGUUACGCCACUCCGUACUGUGCAAGCGGAAUCAGCAAAUCGGCCGAAUCGUAAGGAUAUGCUUGCGAAGAUGAAGUAUCCAGCUUUCAUCGUCCGAAAAUGGUGGAGAGUGUGGCAAAAUCAAACAUUUACUGUACUUUCAGACUUACAUUAGAUUAUUUUAAGAUUUUAGAGAAAGAUAUGUUGUUAGAAAAUUAGAAA